rnacentral:lncRNA from 1 species
UUGUAUUCGUGGAGUUUUAACUGCAUGCUUCUUCAAUUAAUACCACUUAAUGUGGCGUGCGUGUGCACACAAAAAUGUGAGAGCGUAACUCAACAUCGAAAACAAAGUGAAAGCACGGGAGAGAGAGAUUGGAAUCUAUUCAACAAAGCAUUUGUAGAUAAUAAUGUGCUGCAAAAGUGAAAAAAGGCCAGGGGCCUGCUACU